AAAAAAACUUUUUUGAUUCAGAAAUGUGGGCUUUUGGAAAUGUAUGUUUUAAACCUGCUUACAGAUUGUUAUUUAAAAAAAUACUCUUUAUUUGACAGACAAUCCUCAUUGGAACACAUUUACAUUUUUUGAAUAUGACUGUAUACUAUGGUAUGUUUUCAUUAAUACCUACCUGUACACUGGGUUUUAAUUAAAUACAGCACUAAUACUGUUUAUUAUAUAUCAAAUACAUGCUGUUUUGUGUAAAUAUCUUUUGUAUAUAUUUAGAGUUUUUGUUCUGAAGUAAAAUUUCCCCUCAAAAAGUAUGAAUUUUUCAAUAGUUUCCACAAACGUUAAAUCCUGCCAGAAUAAUAAACUAUCCCUAGUCUAAAGUAGUUACAGUACUAGUGGGAGCAGGGUGUCACUUUAUGUGCCAACUUUACAGUCAUUCCCAGUGACAGAGGCAGGAAUUUUAAGAUGAAUUUCCUCCAAAAACUGUUUAAAAGUUACACAUACUACCACUCUCCUCUCUGCUUUUGAUUAGAUCAUGUUCAGCUAUCUGACACCCAACCGGGUCACACGCGGUUUACCCGGGACACUGGGUGAGGCGACCGUUCCUUUCGCCCGGUCCAAAAAACCCAAGCUUCGGGUUAUUGUUCCAUGUGGCCACGGUGGGUGGGUGGAAAGACGGUCCAUCCUGCUGCCUGUUGUUCAGCCGCGGAGCCAAUGAGAGCCCUGCUGCCGCUCAGUCCCGGUCCAAUGAGAGCAGCGGGGUCUGGGCUCGUUUCUAGAGUUGGGUUGUUCAAUCUGCGAGGAGGACAACAAGCCGCUGCAGCUCUCUGAGUGUACCGGAUGGAUGGAUACUGACGAUGUCUCCUCCUGCUGGUGCUGGUUCUGACGGUGGAUGUGAAUGGUCGACCUGAGGCUUGUUGCUGAUUUCAGUUCUGCAAAUGAUGUGAUGCAGCAAAUCUGAUCGAGAGGACUUCUUGUACAAUUCGUUGAAUCUGUCUGAGCUUGUGUAAUGUUCUAAAAAGAAGAAUGGAGAAAAAUCUGGGAAAAUGCAGAGCAGGUAGAGACAAGCUACAGACAAGUUCAAAAUGAGUUGCUGCUUUGCUGCAGGACGUGUGUCCUUUAACUGAGGCCACAUGUGUAUCCGGACAGAUGGAUCGCUGUAAGCACGUGGUUCGCCUUCGCCUGGGCCAAGACCAUUCCAUUCUCAACCCACAAAAAUGGCACUGUGUGGAGUGCAGCACCACAGAUUCAGUGUGGGCCUGCCUCAAGUGCUCCCACGUUGCCUGUGGGCGCUUCAUAGAGGAGCACUUUCUCAAACACUUUCAGGAGUCACAGCACCCACUGGCCAUGGAGGUGCGUGAGCUGGAUGUCUUCUGCUUUGCUUGUGGAGACUAUGUACUGAAUGAUAAUGCAGAGGGAGACCUGAAACUCCUCAGAGGUGCUCUCUCUACAGUUCGAAGCCCAGGAAGACGGUCACUGCGCUCUUCCACUGGGGGGGAUUACGCCCCCUGGGUCUGGGAAGGCGGGCCGCAGCCUGCCAUGCAGCUGGCGCUGCGCCACAGGAGGAAAGCCCUACUGGGAAGGAUGCUUCAGAAUUGGAUCAACAAACACCAGGAGGUUCAAAAUCAGCGCAAAGAGAAACUUGAGGAGACCAGGAGACAAAAGAAGGAGGUAAAAAGGAAACUCCUGGAAGAUCUUGGCAACAUUCCUCCCAGAAAGAGUGCCAGGCUUCUUACUCAGGCGCCACGUUCAACCAUGACGCUCAUUCCACGCAAAUUUCGCGACCCCCCAGAACGCCUACCUCCACCUCCCAAGAAGCCUUCACUUGUCAACCUGCCCCGCAGGGCUCCACAGAUCAGCAGAGCCGCUAAAUUGAGGAGAUACUACUCCACACACGCGGUAACGCGGAGGAGACAUGCUCCAGGUGUCACUGGUCUGCGCAACUUGGGAAACACGUGCUAUAUGAACUCAAUAUUGCAAGUGCUGAGCCACCUGCAGAAAUUCAGGGAGUGUUUUCUUACUUUGGACCUGUGUGAGACUGAGGAGCUGCUGGCCAAAACCAACCACUCCCAGGGGAUGAAGGGGGUGACUGGAGCAGUUGUCAGCAGCGGUACCACACCACUGUCAGAGUACCCUCUUGGACGUAUGGGGAAGGCAGGUUGUUGGAAUUUGCCUGAAGGCAAAAAGGAGAGCGUCCCACCCUCCCCACAGGCUGCAGAACUGGUCCAGCCCAAAGAGCCUCGCUGCUCUACUCGCCAGCAAAUGUCUCUGUGCCACGAGCUGCAUACACUUUUCAGGGUCAUGUGGUCGGGCCGGUGGACUCUUGUAUCUCCCUUCGCCAUGCUGCACUCCGUGUGGAACCUCAUCCCGGCUUUCCGUGGAUAUGAUCAGCAAGAUGCCCAGGAGUUCUUAUGUGAACUGCUGGACAAGGUGCAGCAGGAGCUGGACACAGAGGGGUCAAAGCGGCGGAUAGUCAUCCCCAUCACAAAGAGGAAGCUGUCCAAGCAAGUGCUGAAGGUUCUGAACACCAUCUUUCACGGACAGCUGCUCAGCCAGGUGACAUGUCUGUCCUGUAAGCACAAGUCCAACACAGUAGAGCCAUUCUGGGAUUUAUCCCUGGAGUUUCCAGAGAGAUAUCACAGUAGGAACAAAGGCUCAGGCGCUACUGCUUACCAGCGCAGCUGCACCCUCAUAGAGAUGCUGUCCAAGUUCACAGAGAUGGAGGCUCUUGAAGGCAACAUCUACGCCUGCAACCACUGCAACAAAAGAAGAAGAAAAUCAUCCCACAAACCCUUAGUUCUGUCAGAAGCACGAAAGCAGCUUCUGAUCUACCGCUUACCUCAGGUUCUACGGCUGCACCUCAAACGCUUCAGAUGGUCGGGCCGGAACCACAGGGAGAAAAUCGGCGUCCAUGUGGCCUUCGACCAGGUUCUGAAUAUCAAACCAUACUGCUGCACAGACUCAGGUCACUCUGUCCACAGAGAAGGCUACACCUACGACCUGUCUGCUGUGGUCAUGCAUCAUGGUAAAGGCUUUGGCUCAGGGCACUACACCGCAUACUGCUACAACACGGAAGGAGGCUUCUGGGUCCACUGUAAUGACUCUGAGAUGAAGGUUUGCAGCGUGGAGGAAGUGUGCAACACUCAGGCCUAUAUUCUGUUCUAUACCCAGAGGUCUGCCUAGGUACCUCUCGUGCUGUGACUUGUACUGAGGGCUGCAUUCAAGAUGUUGUCAGAUGUUUUCCCUGAUGUCACUGAAAAGGUUUGCCAAACGAGACGGUAACGAGGGCAAAGGGAAAGCCAAAUCAUACAGGCUCGAGACUCUCAGAGAACAGAAGUAGUUCUGGGUUGUUGUUUUUUUUUUUGUCAUUCUGUUUAACUCCAUGAAAAGAGGUGAAUAAACUGAGUUUCCAACAAAUGAUAAUGAAUGAAGGGAAGCUGCAAUUCUCCGGAGGGGCUGCCAGUCCUACUGUAUGUUUGGCUAGUUUUAUUCCCCUAAAAGCAGCUCCUCCUGCGGUUUAAUGGUUUGACUGCUGCACCUCUGUCUAACCUGCUGGCAGAUCAGAAACAAGUUAAAAGGGCAGAGGGCGGUGAAGCUGCAGAAUGUGUUUUUGGGAAACUUGGAGAGGUACCCAUUUUAAAGUUGAGCACCUGAAAGCAAUAUAUUGUACAUCGUUCAUCUUAACAGUAAGUUAAAAUAAAAAUCAGGAAUUCUUCUGCUUAUUAUAUAAUGUUUUGGGGUUUUUUUCUACUCUGCUGUUUCUAUCGAGGUCUUUAGAAUUUGCUAGGUAAUCAAGAAAACUGUUGUGUUUGAUACGAGUCAAAUGCAAAAUACAUUUGUGAACUCUGUGACAGUUGGAACAAUCUAAAUGACGACGAAUGUCUUACUUUAUAGCGGUCAGUUGUGGCCAUGCCACUGGCUCUGAUCUCCUUGAGUUCUGUCUUGUACUGUAAGAACACCUGUCAUAAAUGUAUUGUUCGUAAGGGUUUUGCCUGACAGUAAUUAUUAAAAAGACAACAAAUACA